GGUUGAUCCUGCCAGUAUUAUAUGCUGAUGUUAAAGAUUAAGCCAUGCAUGUGUAAGUUUAAAGACCAAGUAGGAUGAAACUGCGGACGGCUCAUUAUAACAGUAAUAGUUUCUUUGGUUAGUCGGUACAAGGAUAACUUUGUGAAUGAUAAAGCUAAUACUUGAGACGAUCCGGGAAGUAUUUUACUUUCCGGCCCUCGGAUGCGAGUCUGGGGAAAAACGACAUUUUUUUGUGAAAAAGGAUGCCGCGACAAUUGAGGAAAGCGACGCUUUUGACAAGUAACCAAUGGGAA
rnacentral:rRNA from 1 species